rfam:Gossypium raimondii Chr04_contig_1294, whole genome shotgun sequence.
UAUUAAAAAUUUCAUCUUCUUAUACUAUUAAAAAUUGGUAUGCCUGAUAAAAUAAUAAGACAAUAACAUGUGUUGUGCCACGUGUACCGUAUAUUGACGUAUACAGACCACUUUUUAAACAUAGAAACAAAUAAAAUUUUUAAUA